UGAGGAAUAUUGCACAAUGGGGGCAACCCUGAUGCAGCAACGCCGCGUGGAGGAUGAAGGCUUUUGAGUUGUAAACUCCUUUUCUGAGGGAAGAGUAAGGACGGUACCUCAGGAAUAAGGCCCGGCUAACUACGUGCCAGCAGCCGCGGUAAUACGUAGGGGUCAAGCGUUAUCCGGAAUUACUGGGCGUAAAGCGCACGCAGGCGGCUUGCCAAGUCCGAUGUGAAAGCUCCCGGCUUAACUGGGAGAGGUCGUUGGAUACUGGUAGGCUUGAGGCAGUGAGAGGGGUACGGAAUUCCCGGUGUAGUGGUGGAAUGCGUAGAUAUCGGGAGGAACACCAGUGGCGAAAGCGGUACCCUGGCACUGUUCUGACGCUCAGGUGCGAAAGCGUGGGGAGCGAACGGGAUUAGAUACCCCCGUAGUCC
rnacentral:rRNA from 1 species